GAAUCACCAGGGGUAAAUCUAAUGUCCUUUGCCUUGUAACUUCUGGAGUGUUACAUAAAGGACUGUAACUAGACUGAGGCAAUGCAAGCUAUCCCUGCAAAAAUACAUCUUUUUAGCCCAUUUACCAAUGGCAGCUUCAGGUUUGGGGAUGUUGUGGCAAGAGGCAGCUUUUCAAUUUCACAGGAAUGGGUAGAAGCAACACAGUGGACAGGCUGCUGUAUUUAUUGUCUUCGGGUGCUGGCCAGCUGCCUGCCAGGGACCACAACUCCGAGGUGGCUCAGAGCUCUGCAGCAGCCCCGAGCAGCAGCACCGGCAGCAGCAGCAGCAGC